rnacentral:rRNA from 1 species
CACGAACGCUGGCGGCGUGCCUAAUACAUGCAAGUCGAGCGGAAGUUGGAGAGCUUGCUCUUCAACUUUAGCGGCGGACGGGUGAGUAACACGUGGGCAACCUGCCCUGCAGAUCGGGAUAACUCCGGGAAACCGGUGCUAAUACCGAAUAGUUUUCGCCACCUCCUGGUGGCGUACGGAAAGACGGUUUCGGCUGUCACUGCAGGAUGGGCCCGCGGCGCAUUAGCUAGUUGGUGGGGUAACGGCCCACCAAGGCAACGAUGCGUAGCCGACCUGAGAGGGUGAUCGGCCACACUGGGACUGAGACACGGCCCAGACUCCUACGGGAGGCAGCAGUAGGGAAUCUUCCGCAAUGGACGAAAGUCUGACGGAGCAACGCCGCGUGAGUGACGAAGGUUUUCGGAUCGUAAAACUCUGUUGUGAGGGAAGAACAAGUACCAACUAACUACUGGUACCUUGACGGUACCUCACCAGAAAGCCACGGCUAACUACGUGCCAGCAGCCGCGUAACAC